AUUGAACGCUGGCGGCAGGCCUAACACAUGCAAGUCGAGCGGAUGAAGGGAGCUUGCUCCUGGAUUCAGCGGCGGACGGGUGAGUAAGGCCUAUGAAUCUGCCUGGGAGUGGGGGAUAACGUCCGGAAACGGGCGCUAAUACCGCAUACGUCCUGAGGGAGAAAGUGGGGGAUCUUCGGACCUCACGCUAUCAGAUGAGCCUAGGUCGGGUUAGCUAGUUGGUGGGGUAAAGGCCUACCAAGGCGACGAUCCGUAACUGGUCUGAGAGGAUGAUCAGUCACACUGGAACUGAGACACGGUCCAGACUCCUACGGGAGGCAGCAGUGGGGAAUAUUGGACAAUGGGCGAAAGCCUGAUCCAGCCAUGCCGCGUGUGUGAAGAAGGUCUUCGGAUUGUAAAGCACUUUAAGUUGGGAGGAAGGGCAGUAAGUUAAUACCUUGCUGUUUUGACGUUACCAACAGAAUAAGCACCGGCUAACUUCGUG
rnacentral:rRNA from 1 species